rnacentral:misc_RNA from 1 species
UAAAAAAAAAAAAAAGCAUUUUCUUGCAUUAGCACUUAGCAAGUGCGUUUUGGUUUGCUUUAUUUGGAAAACGCUCGUAGGGAUUUUUCCCUCACUAUUGUCCUUCAUGUUCUUGUUGAGGCUAGUUGAAGAGAGAGCUUGCUUGCAAAAUCCACUAAUAUGAACAUCAAACUUUGUCACAAUCAAUUCUUAGAUACUCAAGUGUUAUUUAAAAUAUUG